rnacentral:rRNA from 1 species
GACGAACGCUGGCGGCGUGCCUAAUACAUGCAAGUCGAACGAACCGCGACUAGGUGCUUGCACUUGGUCAAGGUGAGUGGCGAACGCGUGAGUAACACGUGGGUAACCUACCUCAUAGUGGGGGAUAACAGUCGGAAACGACUGCUAAUACCGCAUAGGACAUAGGAUCACAUGAUCCAGUGAGGAAAGGUGGCGCAAGCUAUCGCUAAGAGAUGGACCCGCGGUGCAGUAGCUAGUUGGUAGGGUAAAGGCCUACCAAGGCGAUGAUGCAUAGCCGACCUGAGAGGGUGAUCGGCCACAUUGGGACUGAGACACGGCCCAAACUCCUACGGGAGGCAGCAGUAGGGAAUCUUCCGCAAUGGACGCAAGUCUGACGGAGCAACGCCGCGUGAGUGAAGAAGGUCUUCGGAUCGUAAAGCUCUGUUGUUAGAGAAGAACAGCGCAUAGAGUAACUGUUAUGCGUGUGACGGUAUCUAACCAGAAAGCCACGGCUAACUACGUG